CCUACGGGUGGCAGCAGUAGGGAAUCUUCCACAAUGGACGAAAGUCUGAUGGAGCAACGCCGCGUGAGUGAAGAAGGGUUUCGGCUCGUAAAGCUCUGUUGGUAGUGAAGAAAGCUAUAGGUAUUAACUGGCCUUUAUUUGACGGUACUUGCUUAGAAAGUCCCGGCUAACUCCGUGCCAGCAGCCGCGGUAAUACGUAGGUUGCAAGCGUUGUCCGGAUUUAUUGGGCGUAAAGCGAGUGCAGGCGGUUUAAUAAGUCUGAUGUGAAAGCCUUCGGCGCAACCGGGGAAUUGCAUCAGAAACUGGUGGACUUGAGUGCAGAAGAGGGGGGUGGAAUUCCAUGUGUAGCGGUGGAAUGCGUAGAUAUAUGGAAGAAUACCAGUGGCGAAGGCGGCUCGCUGGACUGCAACUGACGCUGAGGCGCGAAAGCAUGGGGAGCGAACAGGAUUAGAUACCCUUGUAGUC
rnacentral:rRNA from 1 species